rnacentral:rRNA from 1 species
GAUCAUGGCUCAGGAUGAACGCUGGCGGCGUGCUUAACACAUGCAAGUCGAACGAAGCGCUUGAGAUUGAUUCUUCGGAUGAUUUCUCUUGCGACUUAGUGGCGGACGGGUGAGUAACGCGUGAGUAACCUGCCUCACACAGGGGGAUAACAGUUGGAAACGACCGCUAAUACCGCAUAACCCGCUAGGGCCGCAUGGCCCGGACGGAAAAGAUUUAUCGGUGUGAGAUGGACCCGCGUUGG